rnacentral:rRNA from 1 species
UGGGCGUAAGGGCUCGCAGGCGGUUUCUUAAGUCUGAUGUGAAAGCCCCCGGCUCAACCGGGGAGGGUCAUUGGAAACUGGGAAACUUGAGUGCAGAAGAGGAGAGUGGAAUUCCACGUGUAGCGGUGAAAUGCGUAGAGAUGUGGAGGAACACCAGUGGCGAUUGCGACUCUCUGGUCUGUAACUGACGCUGAGGAGCGAAAGCGUGGGGAGCGAACAGGAUUAGAUACCCUGCCUAGUCCACGCCGUAGACGAUGAUUGCUAAGUGUUCCCCCUUUUCCGCCCCUUAACGCUGCAGCUAACCCC